UUCGGAGGUACUCGAGUGGCGAACGGGUGAGUAACACGUGGGCAAUCUGCCCUGCACUUCGGGAUAAGCCUGGGAAACUGGGUCUAAUACCGGAUAGGACCUUUAGACGCAUGUCUUUUGGUGGAAAGCUUUUGCGGUGUGGGAUGGGCCCGCGGCCUAUCAGCUUGUUGGUGGGGUGACGGCCUACCAAGGCGACGACGGGUAGCCGGCCUGAGAGGGUGUCCGGCCACACUGGGACUGAGAUACGGCCCAGACUCCUACGGGAGGCAGCAGUGGGGAAUAUUGCACAAUGGGCGCAAGCCUGAUGCAGCGACGCCGCGUGGGGGAUGACGGCCUUCGGGUUGUAAACCUCUUUCACCAUCGACGAAGGUUCGGGUUUUCUCGGAUUGACGGUAGGUGGAGAAGAAGCACCGGCCAACUACGUGCCAGCAGCCGCGGUAAUACGUAGGGUGCGAGCGUUGUCCGGAAUUACUGGGCGUAAAGAGCUCGUAGGUGGUUUGUCGCGUUGUUCGUGAAAUCUCACGGCUUAACUGUGAGCGUGCGGGCGAUACGGGCAGACUAGAGUACUGCAGGGGAGACUGGAAUUCCUGGUGUAGCGGUGGAAUGCGCAGAUAUCAGGAGGAACACCGGUGGCGAAGGCGGGUCUCUGGGCAGUAACUGACGCUGAGGAGCGAAAGCGUGGGGAGCGAACAGGAUUAGAUACCCUGGUAGUCCACGCCGUAAACGGUGGGUACUAGGUGUGGGUUUCCUUCCUUGGGAUCCGUGCCGUAGCUAACGCAUUAAGUACCCCGCCUGGGGAGUACGGCCGCAAGGCUAAAACUCAAAGGAAUUGACGGGGGCCCGCACAAGCGGCGGAGCAUGUGGAUUAAUUCGAUGCAACGCGAAGAACCUUACCUGGGUUUGACAUGCACAGGACGCGUCUAGAGAUAGGCGUUCCCUUGUGGCCUGUGUGCAGGUGGUGCAUGGCUGUCGUCAGCUCGUGUCGUGAGAUGUUGGGUUAAGUCCCGCAACGAGCGCAACCCUUGUCUCAUGUUGCCAGCGGGUAAUGCCGGGGACUCGUGAGAGACUGCCGGGGUCAACUCGGAGGAAGGUGGGGAUGACGUCAAGUCAUCAUGCCCCUUAUGUCCAGGGCUUCACACAUGCUACAAUGGCCGGUACAAAGGGCUGCGAUGCCGUAAGGUUAAGCGAAUCCUUUUAAAGCCGGUCUCAGUUCGGAUUGGGGUCUGCAACUCGACCCCAUGAAGUCGGAGUCGCUAGUAAUCGCAGAUCAGCAACGCUGCGGUGAAUACG
rnacentral:rRNA from 1 species